rnacentral:rRNA from 1 species
GUUUGAUCCUGGCUCAGAGCGAACGUUAGCGGCAGGCUUAAACACAUGCAAGUCGAGCGAGAAAGGGGCUUCGGCUCCGAGUAAAAGCGGCGGACGGGUGCGUAACACGUGGAUAAUCUGCCUCGUGGCGGGGGACAACAGUCCGAAAGGACUGCUAAUACCGCAUGUCAGGUCGGAAACUCCGGUUUCUGACGAAAAAGAGGGCGCCCGCAAGGGGCUCUCACCACGAGAUGAGUCCGCGUCCCAUCAGCUAGUUGGCGGUGUAAUAGACCACCAAGGCUUAGACGGGUAGCUGGUCUGAGAGGAUGACCAGCCACACUGGGACUGAGACACGGCCCAGACUCCUACGGGAGGCAGCAGUGGGGAAUAUUGGACAAUGGGCGAAAGCCUGAUCCAGCCAUGCCGCGUGAGUGAUGAAGGCC